GUUCUACGGGGCGCAGCAGUGGGGAAUAUUGCACAAUGGGGGAAACCCUGAUGCAGCGACGCCGCGUGAAGGAAGAAGUAUUUCGGUAUGUAAACUUCUAUCAGCAGGGAAGAAAAUGACGGUACCUGACUAAGAAGCCCCGGCUAACUACGUGCCAGCAGCCGCGGUAAUACGUAGGGGGCAAGCGUUAUCCGGAUUUACUGGGUUUAAAGGGUGCGUAGGCGGACUGUUAAGUCAGCGGUAAAAGCCCGGGGCUCAACCCCGGCGAGCCGUUGAAACUGGCUGUCUUGAGAUGUCGAGAGGUA
rnacentral:rRNA from 1 species